ACUCAAAUGAAUUGACGGGGGCUCACACAAGCGGUGGAGCAUGUUGCUUAAUUCGAUGCAACGCGAAGAACCUUAUCCUGGGCUUGAAAAGCAUGGAUACGGCCUCUGAAAGGAGUGUCCGUUGCCCUUCGGGGUGAAACAUGUACAGGUGCUGCAUGGCUGUCGUCAGCUCGUGUCGUGAGAUGUCGGGUUAAGUCCCUUAACGAGCGAAACCCUUGUCGCUAGUUGCCAGCGAGUCAUGUCGGGGACUCUAGCGAGACUGCCGGUGUUAAACCGGAGGAAGGUGGGGAUGACGUCAAGUCCUCAUGGCCUUUAUGCCCAGGGCUGCAAACGUGCUACAAUGGCCGGGACAGAACGAUCCGAGACCGCGAGGUGGAGGAAACCGUAAAAACCGGCCCCAGUUCGGAUUGUAGUCUGCAACUCGACUACAUGAAGUUGGAAUCGCUAGUAAUCGCGGAUCAGCUAUGCCGCGGUGAAUGUGUUCCUGAGCCUUGCACACACCGCCCGU
rnacentral:rRNA from 1 species